UUUUCCCCUAGAGGUGUUUCAGGUGUGGCUGCUGUGUCACAUGUGCAUCAGUACAUGGAAGAGAAGAGAGAGCCUAUGUCUAUGCUCAAUGUUCUGAACUAUGAAUAUCUGAAUGAUUAGUAGCCUAACACU